UCGCCUGUUAACAAAAACAUAGCUUAUGGAUUAUUUAUAUAAGGUUUUACCUGCCCAAUGAUAUAAUUUAAAUGGCCGCAGUACUUUGACUGUGCUAAGGUAGCAUAAUAAAUUGACUUUUAAUUAAGGUCUAGAAUGAAAGGAUAAAUGAAUAUAUACUGUCUUUAAUUAGUUAAUAUUAAUUUUCUUAGAAGGUGAAAAUUCCUUUAGGUAUAUUAAAAAGACGAGAAGACCCUAGGAGUUUUAAAUAAACCUUUUUGUUGGGGCAACACUAUAACAAAUAAUUUAUAGUAAUAUUACAAAUUAAACGAAAUCUUUUAAUUAUAAAUAAGCUACCCUAGGGAUAACAGCAUAAUUUAUUUUAAAAUAAGUUUGUGACCUCGAUGUUGGACUAGGGACUUUAAAUAUUAACUAUAUUUAUUGGGUUGUUCUGUCGAACAUUUUAUACCUACGUGAUCUGAGUUCAGACCGGA
rnacentral:rRNA from 1 species